rnacentral:rRNA from 1 species
UACCAGCACCCCGAGUGGUCGGGACGUUUAUUGGGCCUAAAGCAUCCGUAGCCGGUUCUACAAGUCUUCCGUUAAAUCCACCUGCUUAACAGGUGGGCUGCGGAAGAUACUAUGGAGCUAGGAGGCGGGAGAGGCAAGCGGUACUCGAUGGGUAGGGGUAAAAUCCGUUGAUCCAUUGAAGACCACCAGUGGCGAAGGCGGCUUGCCAGAACGCGCUCGACGGUGAGGGAUGAAAGCUGGGGGAGCAAACCGG